GUUCCCAUAGUGUAGUGGUUAUCACAUCUGCCUAACACGCAGAAGGUCCCAGGUUCGAGACCUGGUCGGAACA
rnacentral:tRNA from 1 species